rfam:Streptomyces chattanoogensis strain NRRL ISP-5002 ISP5002contig29.1, whole genome shotgun sequence.
AGAUGAGAGAAAAACCCCGUCCGCAGGGGACUGCGGGCGAUGCCCGGUCGGCGCUUCCCCGGCUCCGAUCUGGCCGUGCCCUCGCGCACACGACCGGGACCCGUGCGAUACGGGGCUCCGGGAAUCCUCACCGAUCGGA